GUGGGGAAUAUUCCGCAAUGGACGAAAGUCUGACGGAGCAACGCCGCGUGAGUGAUGAAGGUUUUCGGACUGUAAAGCUCUGUUGUUUGGGACGAAAGUGCCUGUUGCGAACAGUUACGGGUAUUGACGGUACUAAACGAGGAAGCCACGGCUAACUACGUGCCAGCAGCCGCGGUAAUACGUAGGUGGCAAGCGUUGUCCGGAAUUAUUGGGCGUAAAGAGCAUGUAGGCGGGAAUCUAAGUCUGUUGUUAAAAUGCGGGGCUCAACCCCGUAUUGCGAUGGAAACUGGGUUUCUUGAGUGCAGGAGAGGAAAGGGGAAUUCCCAGUGUAGCGGUGAAAUGCGUAGAUAUUGGGAGGAACACCAGUGGCGAAGGCGCCUUUCUGGACGAAAACUGACGCUGAGGCGCGAAAGCCAGGGGAGCGAACGGGAUUAGAUACCCGGGUAGUCC
rnacentral:rRNA from 1 species